UGUUAAAGGUUAUUGUUGAGAACUAUGACCAGCCAGAAUAAUGAACAUGUACUUCAGCAGCUACUGACAUGAUUUUUUUUUAAAUAUUUUUUUUUCCUAUAAAUUCAUAGCACAUCCAAAUACAGUGGGUAAUCCCUGACGUUUUCACAUUGGUGAAUGUAGAGAAUUGACCGUCAUAAUAAUUAUAAUGAUAUAAAUCUAAAAUUACAUGUUAAUCCAAUUGAUUAAUUCAGCAAUAAUGUUUUUAGUUAAGUUUCAACUAAAGGUUUAUGUUUACCAGUGAGUCUAGUACAAUAGCUUUAGAGAUUUAGAUGGCGCUAACUUUCUCAAUCUUAAUAGAUCUAGAGAUCUAGAGAUUUUGUUACACUUUGUAGUACAAGUAAUACCUCAGUAGACAGGAAUUAGAUACCGAUAUAACGCAGGUCUUGCCUUUUCCGUUGGGCGCCACUUGUUACGACACAAGACUCUUCGAAAUAAUAAUACACUCUCAGGUUAUUACUCUAUAAAUACUUUAAUAUUACAACAAAUUAUGUAAAUACGAACAUUUCAUUUCUCUUCCUGUCCAUUUCUCCCGGCUUCCCCUUUUCAACCUCGCUUCCAUUCAUUACACAAAUUCGCACCAUUAUUCAUGCACACCGUGCUGCGCUACGACCGUAACAGU
rnacentral:sRNA from 1 species